GGGGGGGGGGGGGGGGGGGGGGGGGGGGGGCGGGGGGGGGGGCGGCAGGGUGGGGGGUUGCUGUUCCGGGUGGGGAGUGGCGGAGGGGUGAGGACUACAUCGGGAUCUCCUUUUUCGUGGGGGAUAACGUAGGGAAACUUACGCUAAUACCGCAUACGGCCUACGGGUGCAAGCAGGGUAUCUUCGGACCUUGCGCGAUUGGAUGAGCCGAUGUCGGAUUAGCUAGUUGGCGGGGUCAAGGCCCACCGAGGCGACGAUCCGUAGCUGGUCUGAGAGGAUGAUCAGCCACACUGGAACUGAGACACGGUCCAGACUCCUACGGGAGGCAGCAGUGGGGAAUAUUGGACAAUGGGCGCAAGCCUGAUCCAGCCAUACCGCGUGGGUGAAGAAGGCCUUCGGGUUGUAAAGCCCUUUUGUUGGGAAAGAAAAGCAGCAGGUUAAUACCCCGCUGUUCUGACGGUACCCAAAGAAUAAGCACCGGCUAACUUCGUG
rnacentral:rRNA from 1 species